GAUGAACGCUAGCGGCAGGCCUAAUACAUGCAAGUCGAACGGUGUCUUCGGACAUAGUGGCGCACGGGUGCGUAACACGUAUGCAACCUACCUUACAUUGGGGGAUAGCCUUUCGAAAGGGAGAUUAAUACCGCAUAAGACAGUAGCUGGGCAUCCAGCAGCUGUUAAAGAUCUAUCGAUGUAAGCUGGGCAUGCGUCCAAUUAGCUAGUUGGUGAGGUAACGGCUCACCAAGGCAAUGAUUGGUAGGGGAACUGAGAGGUUAAUCCCCCACACUGGCACUGGGAUACGGGCCAGACUCCUACGGGAGGCAGCAGUAGGGAAUAUUGGGCAAUGGACGCAAGUCUGACCCAGCCAUGCCGCGGGCAGGAUGAAGGCGUUAUGCGUUGUAAACUGCUUUUAUACAGGAAGAAACGACUCUUGCGAGAGGCAUUGACGGUACUGUAUGAAUAAGCACCGGCUAACUCCGUGCCAGCCGCCGCUGUAAUAC
rnacentral:rRNA from 1 species